rnacentral:rRNA from 1 species
UACGGAGGGGGCUAGCGUUGUUCGGAAUUACUGGGCGUAAAGCGCACGUAGGCGGCUUUGUAAGUCAGAGGUGAAAGCCCGGGGCUCAACCCCGGAAUUGCCUUUGAGACUGCAUCGCUUGAAUCACGGAGAGGUGGGUGGAAUUCCUGGUGUAGCGGUGGAAUGCGCAGAUAUCAGGAAGAACACCCGUGGCGAAGGCGGCUCUCUGGGACGGUACUGACGCUGAGACGCGAAAGCGUGGGGAGCGAACAGG